rnacentral:lncRNA from 1 species
AACAUUCCAAAUCCUUACAUAUAAAAAAGGGGCAAUUACUUAUAUAUUCCUGAAAAAUUUCCGACUUUCUGAUUUACCCCUCUUAGAAGGCUAAUAUUGAAAAUACCUUUUUUACGUUCUAAUCUAUUUCUAAUAUACUACUAGAGUUAAACUGUUAAUGAACUCUAUUAUCUCUAUAAAAUUAUUAUUUUGCUCUUUCAAAUAUAUCCUUCUACUAUCAUUGACUUUUCUUAUUUGCCCUUAAGUUAGGGGCACAAAAAAUAUUUUGCUUUUUGGUCUUUUUAAAUAUACUCUUCUACCAUCACCAAUAUUUCUUAUUUGCCCUUAAGUUAAGGACAAAAGUGAUAUUUUAAUUUUUUUUUAACUGUAGUAGAUAUUUAACUCACGUUUAACCCAAAUUACCUUAUCGGGUGGUAACUGCAGCAGUAUUUUGGAAUAACGGAGGAACGUAUCAGGGGUAUAUUAGAAAGAAAACAAGUAGAGGUAAAUGAGAUGUUUCCGAAGUUUCGAGAGGUAUAUAGGCAAUUAUCCAUAUAAAAAAUUAUAAAUUUUGGAUUUUGAUUUCUUAUGAAUCCAACAAUGAUACAUUCUCUACCGGUAAUAAUUGGGACUAUUUGAUACCGAGUUCAUUAGUUCUCAUGAUAUUCAAUUUUUUUGCAAGUAAGUAAUUUAAAUGUUAUAAAUCAUAUCUAUUGUCUUAUGUUUUGAUUUAACAUUAUUAAUCAUCACAGUAUAAUACUGUAGUGGAUAUAUUGUACUUAUAC